rnacentral:rRNA from 1 species
CUGUGAGGUAUGCUGGAGGUAUCAGAAGUGCGAAUGCUGACAUAAGUAACGAUAAUGCGGGUGAAAAACCCGCACGCCGGAAGACCAAGGGUUCCUGUCCAACGUUAAUCGGGGCAGGGUGAGUCGACCCCUAAGGCGAGGCAGAAAUGCGUAGUCGAUGGGAAACGGGUUAAUAUUCCCGUACUGGUGAUAAUUGCGAUGGGGGGACGGAGAAGGCUAGGCUGGCCGGGCGACGGUUGUCCCGGUUUAAGGAUGUAGGCAGGUGAAUUAGGCAAAUCCGGUUCACUAUAUGCUGAGGUCUGAUGACGAGUCACUACGGUGGCGAAGUAGCUCAUGCCCCGCUUCCAGGAAAAGCCUCUAAGCUCUAGAUUAUCACUAAUCGUACCCCAAACCGACACAGGUGGUCAGGUAGAGAAUACUCAGGCGCUUGAGAGAACUCGGGUGAAGGAACUAGGCAAAAUGGUGCCGUAACUUCGGGAGAAGGCACGCUGGCGCUAGGUGAAGUGGUUUACCCAUGGAGCUGAAGCCAGUCGCAGAUACCAGCUGGCUGCAACUGUUUAUUAAAAACACAGCACUGUGCAAACACGAAAGUGGACGUAUACGGUGUGACGCCUGCCCGGUGCUGGAAGGUUAAUUGAUGGGGUUAUCCGUAAGGAGAAGCUCUUGAUCGAAGCCCCAGUAAACGGCGGCCGUAACUAUAACGGUCCUAAGGUAGCGAAAUUCCUUGUCGGGUAAGUUCCGACCUGCACGAAUGGCGUAAUGAUGGCCAGGCUGUCUCCACCCGAGACUCAGUGAAAUUGAACUCGCUGUGAAGAUGCAGUGUACCCGCGGCAAGACGGAAAGACCCCGUGAACCUUUACUAUAGCUUGACACUGAACAUUGAGCCUUGAUGUGUAGGAUAGGUGGGAGGCUUUGAAGUGUGGACGCCAGUCUGCAUGGAGCCAACCUUGAAAUACCACCCUUUAAUGUUUGAUGUUCUAACGUUGCCCCGUUAUCCGGGGUGCGGACAGUGUCUGGUGGGUAGUUUGACUGGGGCGGUCUCCUCCCAAAGAGUAACGGAGGAGCACGAAGGUUGGCUAAGCAUGGUCGGACAUCAUGCGGUUAGUGCAAAGGCAUAAGCCAGCUUGACUGCGAGAGUGACGGCUCGAGCAGGUACGAAAGUAGGUCUUAGUGAUCCGGUGGUUCUGAAUGGAAGGGCCAUCGCUCAACGGAUAAAAGGUACUCCGGGGAUAACAGGCUGAUACCGCCCAAGAGUUCAUAUCGACGGCGGUGUUUGGCACCUCGAUGUCGGCUCAUCACAUCCUGGGGCUGAAGUAGGUCCCAAGGGUACGGCUGUUCGCCGUUUAAAGUGGUACGCGAGCUGGGUUUAGAACGUCGUGAGACAGUUCGGUCCCUAUCUGCCGUGGGCGUUGGAAGAUUGAAAGGGGCUGCUCCUAGUACGAGAGGACCGGAGUGGACGCACCACUGGUGUUCGGGUUGUCAUGCCAAUGGCAUUGCCCGGUAGCUAAGUGCGGAAGAGAUAACCGCUGAAAGCAUCUAAGCGGGAAACUUGCCUUGAGAUGAGUCUUCCCUGACCCUUUAAGGGUCCUAAAGGAACGUUUAAGACUAAGACGUUGAUAGGUUGGGUGUGUAAGCAUAGCGAUAUGUUGAGCUAACCAAUACUAAUGAACCGUGAGGCUUAACCUG